AGCGAACGCUGGCGGCAGGCUUAACACAUGCAAGUCGAACGGGCUCUUCGGAGCUAGUGGCAGACGGGUGAGUAACGCGUGGGAACGUGCCUUUCGGUUCGGAAUAACUCAGGGAAACUUGAACUAAUACCGGAUACGCCCUUCGGGGGAAAGAUUUAUCGCCGAAAGAUCGGCCCGCGUCUGAUUAGCUAGUUGGUGAGGUAAUGGCGCACCAAGGCGACGAUCAGUAGCUGGUCUGAGAGGAUGAUCAGCCACAUUGGGACUGAGACACGGCCCAAACUCCUACGGGAGGCAGCAGUGGGGAAUAUUGGACAAUGGGCGCAAGCCUGAUCCAGCCAUGCCGCGUGAGUGAUGAAGGCCUUAGGGUUGUAAAGCUCUUUUGUCCGGGAAGAUAAUGACUGUACCGGAAGAAUAAGCCCCGGCUAACUUCGUGCCAGCCGCCGCGGUAAAAC
rnacentral:rRNA from 1 species